rnacentral:rRNA from 1 species
UGAGGAAUAUUGGUCAAUGGACGGAAGUCUGAACCAGCCAAGUCGCGUGAAGGAUGAUUGCCCUAUGGGUUGUAAACUUCUUUUGUAUUGGGAGAAUAAGCCUUACGUGUAAGGUGAUGACUGUACAAUACGAAUAAGCAUCGGCUAACUCCGUGCCAGCAGCCGCGGUAAUACGUAGGUGGCAAGCGUUGUCCGGAAUUACUGGGUGUAAAGGGUGAGUAGGCGGCAUAGUAAGUCAUAUGUGAAAGCCCGCAGCUUAACUGCGGAGUUGCAUAAGAAACUAUUGAGCUAGAGUGCAGGAGAGGCAAGCGGAAUUCCUAGUGUAGCGGUGAAAUGCGUAGAUAUACGGAGGAACACCAGUGGCGAAGGCGGAUUGCUGGACGAUAACUGACGCUGAGGCGCGAAAGCGUGGGGAGCAAACA